rnacentral:rRNA from 1 species
UACGUAGGGGGCAAGCGUUGUCCGGAAUCAUUGGGCGUAAAGCGCGCGUAGGCGGAUCGCUAAGUCAGGGGUGAAAUCCCAAGGCUCAACCUUGGAACUGCCUUUGAUACUGACGAUCUGGAGAUCGGGAGAGGUUGGUGGAAUUCCGAGUGUAGAGGUGAAAUUCGUAGAUAUUCGGAGGAACACCAGAAGCGAAGGCGGCCAACUGGCCCGAUACUGACGCUGAGGCGCGAAAGCGUGGGGAGCAAACAGG